CCUACGGGAGGCAGCAGUGAGGAAUAUUGGUCAAUGGACGAGAGUCUGAACCAGCAAAGUAGCGUGAAGGAUGACUGCCCUAUGGGUUGUAAACUUCUUUUAUAUGGGAAUAAAAUGUUCCACGUGUGGGAUUUUGUAUGUACCAUAUGAAUAAGGAUCGGCUAACUCCGUGCCAGCAGCCGCGGUAAUACGGAGGAUCCGAGCGUUCUCCGGAUUUAUUGGGUUUAAAGGGAGCGUAGGUGGAUUGUUAAGUCAGUUGUGAAAGUUUGCGGCUCAACCGUAAAAUUGCAGUUGAAACUGGCAGUCUUGAGUACAGUAGAGGUGGGCGGAAUUCGUGGUGUAGCGGUGAAAUGCUUAGAUAUCACGAAGAACUCCGAUUGCGAAGGCAGUUCACUGGACUGCAACUGACACUGAGGCUCGAAAGUGUGGGUAUCAAACAGGAUUAGAUACCCGGGUAGUC
rnacentral:rRNA from 1 species